rnacentral:rRNA from 1 species
AGUGAACGCUGGCGGUAGGCCUAACACAUGCAAGUCGAACGGCAGCACAGUAAGAGCUUGCUCUUACGGGUGGCGAGUGGCGGACGGGUGAGGAGUACAUCGGAAUCUACUUUUUCGUGGGGGAUAACGUAGGGAAACUUACGCUAAUACCGCAUACGACCUACGGGUGAAAGCAGGGGAUCUUCGGACCUUGCGCGAUUGAAUGAGCCGAUGUCGGAUUAGCUAGUUGGCGGGGUAAAGGCCCACCAAGGCGACGAUCCGUAGCUGGUCUGAGAGGAUGAUCAGCCACACUGGAGCUGAGACACGGUCCAGACUCCUACGGGAGGCAGCAGUGGGGAAUAUUGGACAAUGGGCGCAAGCCUGAUCCAGCCAUACCGCGUGGGUGAAGAAGGCCUUCGGGUUGUAAAGCCCUUUUGUUGGGAAAGAAAAGCAGCAGGUUAAUACCCCGCUGUUCUGACGGUACCCAAAGAAUAAGCACCGGCUAACUUCGUG